AUGGCCAAGCAUCACGCCGGCGCCGUCAGCACCCCGCGCCCCCGCUCCUCCUCCGGCGCCAAGGCCGCCGCCAGCAUCCCCGCCGCCAACCGCAGCUCCGUCGGCUCCUCCUCGUCCGCGCCCCCCGCCCGCGACCUCGCCUCCCUCGCCAAGGAGGCCGGCAAGCUCCUCGCCUACGACUACGACGACGCCGCCUCCGCCGCGCAGCAGCAGCCGGACCCCGCGCUGCCCGAGGACCUCGCCGUCGCCGACCUCCCCGACCCCGACGACGACGCCGCCUCCUCCACCACCGUCGUCCCCGACCCUCCCUGCGACGCGGUCCCCGCCCCCGCCCGCUCCGCCCUCGCCCAGGUCGCACCGCCCGCCGACGCCACCGCCGCCGAGGGCCCCACCAUCCUCACGGAGAUGGAGCUGGUCCUGGCGGAGCUGCGGGGUGCCCGGGGCCUGAGCGCGCGCUCGAGGUGCCUCCUGACCGUGCUCGCCGAGGCCGCCGCCGACGAGCUCGACCCCCUCCGCACGCGCCGCGCGGCCUUCUGGAGGAAGCUGCGCGUCGGGGUCCUCGCCGCGACGGUCUUCUCCGUGGCCGCCAUCGACGUCGCCCUCGCCGCUGCGCUGAUGGGCGGCCCCGGCGGCAGCGGCCGCCACGCGCUGCCCCCCACCUGA
rnacentral:rRNA from 1 species